rnacentral:rRNA from 1 species
AGAGUUUGAUCAUGGCUCAGAUUGAACGCUGGCGGCAUGCCUUACACAUGCAAGUCGAACGGCAGCGCGGGAGCAAUCCUGGCGGCGAGUGGCGAACGGGUGAGUAAUACAUCGGAACGUGCCCAAUCGUGGGGGAUAACGCAGCGAAAGCUGUGCUAAUACCGCAUACGAUCUACGGAUGAAAGCAGGGGACCGCAAGGCCUUGCGCGAAUGGAGCGGCCGAUGGCAGAUUAGGUAGUUGGUGGGGUAAAGGCUCACCAAGCCGACGAUCUGUAGCUGGUCUGAGAGGACGACCAGCCACACUGGGACUGAGACACGGCCCAGACUCCUACGGGAGGCAGCAGUGGGGAAUUUUGGACAAUGGGCGCAAGCCUGAUCCAGCCAUGCCGCGUGCAGGAUGAAGGCCUUCGGGUUGUAAACUGCUUUUGUACGGAACGAAAAGCCUCUUUCUAAUAAAGAGGGGUCAUGACGGUACCGUAAGAAUAAGCACCGGCUAACUACGUGCCAGCAGCCGCGGUAAUACGUAGGGUGCAAGCGUUAAUCGGAAUUACUGGGCGUAAAGCGUGCGCAGGCGGUUAUAUAAGACAGUUGUGAAAUCCCCGGGCUCAACCUGGGAACUGCAUCUGUGACUGUAUAGCUAGAGUACGGUAGAGGGGGAUGGAAUUCCGCGUGUAGCAGUGAAAUGCGUAGAUAUGCGGAGGAACACCGAUGGCGAAGGCAAUCCCCUGGACCUGUACUGACGCUCAUGCACGAAAGCGUGGGGAGCAAACAGGAUUAGAUACCCUAGUAGUCC